rnacentral:lncRNA from 1 species
UUUUUUAAGUUAGAAAAUAAAUACAAAGGAGUAGUAAUUAGGUAGAAAUUCAAUAGAUUUUUGUAUAUGUGUUAGAAAAUCAAAUUAGUGUAAAUUAGUAGUAAUUAGUAGUAAUUAGGUUUGUCACUCCGCCUAGGUUAGAAAUGAAUCGUGUUUCGUCGUGGUUCCGUCCCCGCCUCCGCCGUCCCGCCGCCCUGACCGCCGCCGUCCCAACCUGGCCACCGUCCGUGGUUCCGUCCCCACCUCCGCCGUUUCGCCUCCGUCGCAAAUUCAUGUUAUUGCUAGAAAUUCGUACAAAAUUCAUGUUAUUCUUAGAAAUUCCAAUAAAUAUGGACAAAUUAGUAGAAAUUUGGUAGAAAUUAAUCGUUGCUGCGGCCACCUCGCUCCGUCCCCGCCUCCGCCAUUCCGCCGCCCCGGCCUCCGCCGUCCCAACCUAGGCACCGUCGACCGCGCGAAAUUCGUACAAAAUUCAUGUUAUUGCUAGAAAUUCGUACAAAUUCAUGUUAUUGCUAGAAAUUCGUACAAAAUUCAUGUUAUUGCUAGAAAUUUGUACAAAAUUCAUGUUAUUGCUAGAAAUUCGUAAAAAUUCAUGUUAUUGCUGUUGGAGGUAUGCCCUAGAGGCAAUCAUAGAGAUGAUGAUAUUCCAUUUGUAUCCAUGAUUUGUAUAUUGUGUUCAUUGAAUAUCCAUUAAAGGCUACUUGAAUUGAUUUGCAAUUAUGUGAAUUGUAUGUGAAACUCUUUACUUGUAUGGUUAUUCUAAAGUUGUCCCUAGUCGGAGUUCAUGUGAGGACACACAUGAAUAUUAGACUAGCACAUGUAUUAGUUGAUGACUAUGUUUCACAAGUCAUGGACAUGGAGAUGUUGAACUAAUAAUGUGGACACAUGUGGAGAUAUGUGCUAGGACUGACCCAAC